CCCCUUUUAAAAUUAGUGAAAAUGGUGAGAAGAAGUUGAGUAAUCAUGGAGAAACGUUAUAUGAAAUUAGAUUACUAUGAUAAAACAUUAUAUGAUAUUGAGUGAUCAUGAUGAAAUAAAUAAAAAUGGAUGACUAUGAUCGUAAGUAUCAAGUUGGAUAGCUAUAAUGAAAUAAAAUCAAAUUGGGUUGUCAUGAGAAAACUAAAGUUUGGUGACCAUUGAUGGGUUUACCGGAGUAGGACACUCCAAUCCAAAAUUAAUUAAAUAAUCUUAGUCAUAGGACUGUCAUUAAUAUUUGAUAAUUAGCUUCAUACUAGCAUCAUCCAACGUUUAUGAAUUUAGACACAAUGCAAACGUCCACAAUUUAGUAGGAUGCAUAAAACCCACAAUCUCAAUCAAUUACGACAUUUUGCCCAAAUGCAUACUGAAGUCAAACACUUUACAAUAGAAAAGAGUAAUGCCCAGUAAAUAUGAGGCAAUUAUAUUGAUCCAUGACCCACAAUUUCAAUCAAAUCCCUACUGUUUAAUUACGAUAUCUUGUACAAAUGCAAAUCAAACUCUGAUAAUACUUUCGUCGUCGUUUUCCUUCAUUAAGAUGGAAAAGAAUAAUACCCAGCAAAUAUGAGGCUUCCACAUUUAAACAUGAAAUAAAUUUAUAAAAUGGGGAUUUAAAGAAAUUCUUUUACCUGGGUUUUGAGCCAUGACUAGGAUUCUUUGAAUUGAAGCAGCAAUUUCAACGUGAAAUGAAGCGUCCCUGGUGAAGGGGAUUAUCAUUAACAGCAAAAUAAGUGAGCGCUAUAUUGAAAUUUUGCACAAUAAUCCCCAUUUUCAGUAGUGAUAAAUGAAAAUUGUGUACCAACAGAUUUUCUCCAUGUUUGAGUAUGAGAAUAUUAACAUACUCAUGAUGAUUGAGAAACGGAUUGAUUCUAACAUCUGGAAUGAACAAAAACUGAAUUCAGUUUUUCAUCAAAAUCUAAGGGAAUAAAUGGACCUAUUUUUUCAUGCUUAACCAGUGAUUCAUUAACACAUUGCAUUUAUUUCCUACACACGCUGCUUCCCCUACAUACUUCAAAUUGAAAAUUAGCUCAUAUUCAAAGAAUAUUGUCAAGAGAAAAAGAAAGUAAAUAAUUUAUCAGCUUUGAAAUCGAAAGAGUAAAUAUGUGAAUCAAUAAAUCAAACCGAAGCCUAAAAAAAUCUAAGUUUUUUCAUCUCCACCACUCCUGAUUUUCACUUGCGCGAAUUUAAAAUCAAGAUCCAGCAGAAAACUACGUAGAUGAAAAACAAUUCUGGAAAUUUUUCGUGAAUUUUUAUUGCUUGAAGAAGAGAAGUCAUGUCCAGAAAGAAAAUGGAGAGAAUCCAUCACACGGCCUGAUGAAUGAGAUAUGAAUGAAGUUAGGGAUUUGAAAUGGGGUCAAAUUCUCGAAAUGAAAUGUGGGGAUGGAAAAUAGUG
rnacentral:lncRNA from 1 species